rnacentral:tRNA from 1 species
CAAGAUAUAGYUUAAUUAAACCACCUCGCUUACACCGAAAAGAUAUCUGUGAGACCCAGAUUAUCUUGA